GAUGAACGCUGGCGGCGUGCCUAAUACAUGCAAGUCGAGCGAACAGACGAGGAGCUUGCUCCUUUGACGUUAGCGGCGGACGGGUGAGUAACACGUAGGUAACCUACCUAUAAGACUGGGAUAACUUCGGGAAACCGGAGCUAAUACCGGAUAAUAUUUCGAACCGCAUGGUUCGAUAGUGAAAGAUGGCUUUGCUAUCACUUAUAGAUGGACCUGCGCCGUAUUAGCUAGUUGGUAAGGUAACGGCUUACCAAGGCAACGAUACGUAGCCGACCUGAGAGGGUGAUCGGCCACAAUGGAGCUGAGACACGGUCCAGACUCCUACGGGAGGCAGCAGUAGGGAAUCUUCCGCAAUGGGCGAAAGCCUGACGGAGCAACGCCGCGUGAGUGAUGAAGGUCUUCGGAUCGGAAAACUCUGUUAUUAGGGAAGAACAAACGUGUAAGUAACUGUGCACGUCUUGACGGUACCUAAUCAGAAAGCCACGGCUAACUACGUG
rnacentral:rRNA from 1 species